AAGGGAACACCUGCUGUCUGCCAGGCACUGUGGGGAAGGGCAGAGUAAAGCCAUGCCUGAGAACCUGGAGUCCGGUGAUGAUGUUUACAGAAUUGCCCAGGGAGCUAUAGUUUGCAGACCUCUGACACGUCUCAAGUUUGACUAAGUAGUCGAAGACGCUAAACUGGCAGCACCCAUCCAAGUACGUUUCUGCGGGGAGGGAAUCCUACUCAGUGGACAAGAGUCUGUUGUGGAGAUGGACACAUUAAUGCCAACAUCUAAUGCUUAUUCAGGACCAACCAUAUGCCUAAGCUCCGCACUUUAACUUAGACUAUCUCACGUCAUCUUCAGAGGAGCUCCAUGAAGUAGUUACCUCUGAUUUCACCCCUUUACAGAUGAAGCAAUCGAUCCAUAAAGAAGUUAACUAGCUUGUCCAAGGUCACACAACUAGUUUGUGGUUGGGUGGGGAUUUGAACUGAAAGAGUCUAAUGUCGUGCUGAAUGCCUUCCGUUAAACAUUUAACUGUAGUCUCCCUCUCCCCUGCAUUCUUACCCUCCAACCCACAGGCCUUCUCUCAGUUCCUCUCAAACUCUCACUUCCAUCUGCCUCUGCUUCCGCACUGCCCAGUACUUUGAAUGCUUCCUGCCACACCCAUCAGACCUUUUUCUGGAUCUUUUUGAUUCUUCAGGUCUUAACUCAAAUUUCACCUCCUUAAAGAAGCCUUCAUUGAUCACCCAAUUGAAAGAAAUAACACAGGUGCGCGCAAAACACACACAAGCAUACACACAAUUUCUCUGACUCUCUCCUCGUCCUAUUCAACAUUCUGUUUUUAUAGAAGUCAUGUCUAUUUGAAAAUUUGAAAUAGUCUUAUUUAUUCAUCUAUUUUAUUGUCUUCGGUUAGAUUGCAAGUACUUGACUUUGUC
rnacentral:lncRNA from 10 species